rfam:Triticum aestivum genome assembly, contig: Triticum_aestivum_CS42_TGACv1_scaffold_250071_3DL
UUGAUGCAUUUGAGGAGAAACGAGCUUAUGGAUAAUUUGUAUCCGAGGCAUUUCUCUGAUGUCACUCUUUUUCACCUUGGAGAUCCAAUGCAUUCC